rnacentral:rRNA from 1 species
GAAACAUCUUCGGGUUGUGAGGUUAAGCGACUAAGCGUACACGGUGGAUGCCCUGGCAGUCAGAGGCGAUGAAGGACGUGCUAAUCUGCGAUAAGCGUCGGUAAGGUGAUAUGAACCGUUAUAACCGGCGAUUUCCGAAUGGGGAAACCCAGUGUGUUUCGACACACUAUCAUUAACUGAAUCCAUAGGUUAAUGAGGCGAACCGGGGGAACUGAAACAUCUAAGUACCCCGAGGAAAAGAAAUCAACCGAGAUUCCCCCAGUAGCGGCGAGCGAACGGGGAGCAGCCCAGAGCCUGAAUCAGUGUGUGUGUUAGUGGAAGCGUCUGGAAAGGCGCGCGAUACAGGGUGACAGCCCCGUACACAAAAAUGCACAUACUGUGAGCUCGAUGAGUAGGGCGGGACACGUGGUAUCCUGUCUGAAUAUGGGGGGACCAUCCUCCAAGGCUAAAUACUCCUGACUGACCGAUAGUGAACCAGUACCGUGAGGGAAAGGCGAAAAGAACCCCGGCGAGGGGAGUGAAAAAGAACCUGAAACCGUGUACGUACAAGCAGUGGGAGCACGCUUAGGCGUGUGACUGCGUACCUUUUGUAUAAUGGGUCAGCGACUUAUAUUCUGUAGCAAGGUUAACCGAAUAGGGGAGCCGAAGGGAAACCGAGUCUUAACUGGGCGUUAAGUUGCAGGGUAUAGACCCGAAACCCGGUGAUCUAGCCAUGGGCAGGUUGAAGGUUGGGUAACACUAACUGGAGGACCGAACCGACUAAUGUUGAAAAAUUAGCGGAUGACUUGUGGCUGGGGGUGAAAGGCCAAUCAAACCGGGAGAUAGCUGGUUCUCCCCGAAAGCUAUUUAGGUAGCGCCUCGUGAAUUCAUCUCCGGGGGUAGAGCACUGUUUCGGCAAGGGGGUCAUCCCGACUUACCAACCCGAUGCAAACUGCGAAUACCGGAGAAUGUUAUCACGGGAGACACACGGCGGGUGCUAACGUCCGUCGUGAAGAGGGAAACAACCCAGACCGCCAGCUAAGGUCCCAAAGUCAUGGUUAAGUGGGAAACGAUGUGGGAAGGCCCAGACAGCCAGGAUGUUGGCUUAGAAGCAGCCAUCAUUUAAAGAAAGCGUAAUAGCUCACUGGUCGAGUCGGCCUGCGCGGAAGAUGUAACGGGGCUAAACCAUGCACCGAAGCUGCGGCAGCGACGCUGAUGCGUUGUUGGGUAGGGGAGCGUUCUGUAAGCCUGUGAAGGUGUGCUGUGAGGCAUGCUGGAGGUAUCAGAAGUGCGAAUGCUGACAUAAGUAACGAUAAAGCGGGUGAAAAGCCCGCUCGCCGGAAGACCAAGGGUUCCUGUCCAACGUUAAUCGGGGCAGGGUGAGUCGACCCCUAAGGCGAGGCCGAAAGGCGUAGUCGAUGGGAAACAGGUUAAUAUUCCUGUACUUGGUGUUACUGCGAAGGGGGGACGGAGAAGGCUAUGUUGGCCGGGCGACGGUUGUCCCGGUUUAAGCGUGUAGGCUGGUUUUCCAGGCAAAUCCGGAAAACUAAGGCUGAGGCGUGAUGACGAGGCACUACGGUGCUGAAGCAACAAAUGCCCUGCUUCCAGGAAAAGCCUCUAAGCAUCAGGUAACAUCAAAUCGUACCCCAAACCGACACAGGUGGUCAGGUAGAGAAUACCAAGGCGCUUGAGAGAACUCGGGUGAAGGAACUAGGCAAAAUGGUGCCGUAACUUCGGGAGAAGGCACGCUGAUAUGUAGGUGAAGCGACUUGCUCGUGGAGCUGAAAUCAGUCGAAGAUACCAGCUGGCUGCAACUGUUUAUUAAAAACACAGCACUGUGCAAACACGAAAGUGGACGUAUACGGUGUGACGCCUGCCCGGUGCCGGAAGGUUAAUUGAUGGGGUCAGCGCAAGCGAAGCUCUUGAUCGAAGCCCCGGUAAACGGCGGCCGUAACUAUAACGGUCCUAAGGUAGCGAAAUUCCUUGUCGGGUAAGUUCCGACCUGCACGAAUGGCGUAAUGAUGGCCAGGCUGUCUCCACCCGAGACUCAGUGAAAUUGAACUCGCUGUGAAGAUGCAGUGUACCCGCGGCAAGACGGAAAGACCCCGUGAACCUUUACUAUAGCUUGACACUGAACAUUGAGCCUUGAUGUGUAGGAUAGGUGGGAGGCUUUGAAGUGUGGACGCCAGUCUGCAUGGAGCCGACCUUGAAAUACCACCCUUUAAUGUUUGAUGUUCUAACGUUGACCCGUGAUCCGGGUUGCGGACAGUGUCUGGUGGGUAGUUUGACUGGGGCGGUCUCCUCCUAAAGAGUAACGGAGGAGCACGAAGGUUGGCUAAUCCUGGUCGGACAUCAGGAGGUUAGUGCAAUGGCAUAAGCCAGCUUGACUGCGAGCGUGACGGCGCGAGCAGGUGCGAAAGCAGGUCAUAGUGAUCCGGUGGUUCUGAAUGGAAGGGCCAUCGCUCAACGGAUAAAAGGUACUCCGGGGAUAACAGGCUGAUACCGCCCAAGAGUUCAUAUCGACGGCGGUGUUUGGCACCUCGAUGUCGGCUCAUCACAUCCUGGGGCUGAAGUAGGUCCCAAGGGUAUGGCUGUUCGCCAUUUAAAGUGGUACGCGAGCUGGGUUUAGAACGUCGUGAGACAGUUCGGUCCCUAUCUGCCGUGGGCGCUGGAGAACUGAGGGGGGCUGCUCCUAGUACGAGAGGACCGGAGUGGACGCAUCACUGGUGUUCGGGUUGUCAUGCCAAUGGCACUGCCCGGUAGCUAAAUGCGGAAGAGAUAAGUGCUGAAAGCAUCUAAGCACGAAACUUGCCCCGAGAUGAGUUCUCCCUGACUCCUUGAGAGUCCUGAAGGAACGUUGAAGACGACGACGUUGAUAGGCCGGGUGUGUAAGCGCAGCGAUGCGUUGAGCUAACCGGUACUAAUGAACCGUGAGGCUUAACCUU